rnacentral:rRNA from 1 species
UGGGGAAUCUUGGACAAUGGGCGCAAGCCUGAUCCAGCCAUGCCGCGUGGAUGAUGAAGGCCCUAGGGUUGUAAAAUCCUUUCGUUGGGGACGAUAAUGACGGUACCCAAAGAAGAAGCUCCGGCUAACUUCGUGCCAGCAGCCGCGGUAAUACGAAGGGGGCUAGCGUUGUUCGGAUUUACUGGGCGUAAAGCGCGUGUAGGCGGGUCGUUAAGUUGGGGGUGAAAUCCCGAGGCUCAACCUCGGAACUGCCUUCAAAACUGGCGACCUGGACCUAAGUAGAGGCAAGUGGAAUUGCGAGUGUAGAGGUGAAAUUCGUAGAUAUUCGCAGGAACACCAGUGGCGAAGGCGACUUGCUGGACUUAUGGUGACGCUGAGACGCGAAAGCGUGGGGAGCAAACAGGAUUAGAUACCCGUGUAGUCCCUGAGCGGGCUGGCAAGGCGCAU